AUUGAACGCUGGCGGCAGGCCUAACACAUGCAAGUCGAGCGAGCGGCGGACGGGUGAGUAAUGUAUGGGGACUGCCCGAUAGAGGGGGAUAACUACUGGAAACGGUGGCUAAUACCGCAUACUAUCGGCUAACCCACAUGGGAUUAGCCAGUCGGUGGGGUAAAGGCUCACCUAGGCGACGAUCUCUAGCUGGUCUGAGAGGAUGAUCAGACACACUGGGAGUGAGAGACGGCCCAGAUUCCUGCGAAGGCAGCAGUAGGGAAUAGUGCACAAAGGGCUCAAGCCUGAUACAGCCAUGACGCAUGUAUGAAUAAGGCCUUAGGGUUGUAAAGUACUUUCAACGGGGAGGCGUUACCCGCAGGAGAAGCACCGGCUAACUCCGUGCCAGCAGCCGCGGUAAUUC
rnacentral:rRNA from 1 species